rnacentral:misc_RNA from 1 species
UCCCCGUUACCGGGGCAGUCUAGCUAGAAAAAUUCAACUAACUAUAAGGGUUGCGCUCGUUGAUGGACUUAACCAAACAUCUCACGACACGAGCUGACGACGGCCAUGCAUCACCUGUCUCCUGGUUCCCGAAGGCACCAUCUCCUUUCGGAGAUUUUCCAGGGAUGUCAAGCCUUGGUAAGGUUCUUCGCUUACCGUCGAAUUAAACAACACGCUCCACCGCUUGUGCGGGUCCCCGUCAAUUCCUUUAUGUUUUAGCCUUGCGGCCGUACUCCACAGGCGGGAUGCUUAACGCGUUAGCUUCGCAACAUGCAGGGUCGAUACUGCAAACUGCUAGCAUCCAUAGUUUACGGCGUGGACUAC